rnacentral:rRNA from 1 species
UACCCGCUGAACUUAAGCAUAUCAAUAAGCGGAGGAAAAGAAACUAACAAGGAUUCCCCUAGUAACGGCGAGUGAAGCGGGAAAAGCUCAAAUUUGUAAUCUGGCGCCUUCGGCGUCCGAGUUGUAAUCUCGAGAAGUAUUUUCCGCGCUGGACCGCACAUAAGUCUGUUGGAAUACAGCGUCAUAGUGGUGAGAACCCCGUAUAUGGUGCGGAUGCCCAGUGCUUUGUGAUAUACUUUCGAAGAGUCGAGUUGUUUGGGAAUGCAGCUCAAAUUGGGUGGUAAAUUCCAUCUAAAGCUAAAUAUUGGCGAGAGACCGAUAGCGAACAAGUACCGUGAGGGAAAGAUGAAAAGCACUUUGGAAAGAGAGUUAACAGUACGUGAAAUUGUUGGAAGGGAAACGCUUGAAGUCAGACUUGCAUUUUGGAGUUCAGCCGCAAGGUGUAUUCUUCAAUUCGCAGGCCAGCAUCAGUUUUUGGGGGUGGAAAAUCGCGGUUUGAAGGUAGCAGUCUCGGCUGUGUUAUAGCUUUCCGCUGGAUUCACUUUUGGGGACUGAGGAACGCAGUACGCUUUUUGCAAGACUUUCGAGUCUUUCGUACUUAGGAUGCUGGUGGAAUGGCUUUAAACGACCCGUCUUGAA